GGUGAACGCUGGCGGCGUGCCUAAUACAUGCCAGUCGAGCGAACGGACGAGAAGCUUGCUUCUCUGAUGUUAGCGGCGGACGGGUGAGUAACACGUGGAUAACCUACCUAUAAGACUGGGGUAACUUCGGGAAACCGGAGCUAAUACCGGAUAAUAUUUUGAACCGCAUGGUUCAAAAGUGAAAGACGGUCUUGCUGUCACUUAUAGAUGGAUCCGCGCUGCAUUAGCUAGUUGGUAAGGUAACGGCUUACCAAGGCAACGAUGCAUAGCCGACCCGAGAGCGUGAACGGCCAGACUGGAAGUGAGGAACGGUCCAGACUCCUACAGGAAGCAGCAGUAGGGAAUCUUACGCAAUGGGCGAAAGCCUGACGGAGCAACGCCGCGUGAGUGCUGAAGGUCUUCUGAUCGUAAAACUAUGUUAUUAGGAAAGAAGAUAUGUGUAAGUAACUGUGCACAUCUUGACGGUACCUAAUCAGAAAGCCACGGCUAACUACGUG
rnacentral:rRNA from 1 species